CCCUGCGAGCAGGCGCUUGAAAUUAAUAUCGCCCACCGGGAUGAAACGAGAAAUUUUGGGUCGGAUGGAGGCCGAUGGCUAGACUCUUGCUGAUAUUUGAAUCAUAGCUUCGCCCACAGGCUUCCGAACUUAGUUAAUAUGGGUGUGAUCUCCACGUCUGAAACCUAACGGGAUUGGCUAACAAGGGUAUGAUAGACAGCUCCUAGCUCCAGGAACCUGUAAACUACGAAGAAGUCUCACCUGGCUCAUACCGUGUUAUAUGACGGGGGAAGGGGAAGGGACAUGGCUGUUAUCUUCUAUUUAUAUUAAAGGCCAAAACGACAGCGUGGUUGUGGCAGGGAAUGGUGCCGUCCGACCAACCUAUUGAAGGAUCGGAUAAUGCCUCCUGGCAAAUUCAAAGCAUUC
rnacentral:sRNA from 1 species